rnacentral:rRNA from 1 species
AUUGAACGCUGGCGGCAUGCCUUACACAUGCAAGUCGAACGGCAGCGGACCUUCGGGUGCCGGCGAGUGGCGAACGGGUGAGUAAUGCAUCGGAACGUGCCAUUGAGUGGGGGGAUAACGUAGCGAAAGUUGCGCUAAUACCGCAUAUUCUGUGAGCAGGAAAGCAGGGGACCGCAAGGCCUUGCGCUCUUUGAGCGGCCGAUGUCAGAUUAGCUAGUUGGUGAGGUAACGGCUUACCAAGGCGACGAUCUGUAGCGGGUCUGAGAGGAUGAUCCGCCACACUGGAACUGAGACACGGUCCAGACUCCUACGGGAGGCAGCAGUGGGAAUUUUGGACAAUGGGGGCAACCCUGAUCCAGCCAUGCCGCGUGAGUGAAGAAGGCC